CCUGGUGGUUCAGAGGGUAAAGCAUCUGCCUACAAUGCUGAAGACCCAGGUUCGAUCCCUGGGUCAGGA
rnacentral:tRNA from 1 species